GACGAACGCUGGCGGCGUGCUUAACACAUGCAAGUCGAACGGUAGGGCCCCUUCGGGGGUACACGAGUGGCGAACGGGUGAGUAACACGUGAGCAACCUGCCCUUGACUCUGGAAUAACAGUUGGAAACAGCUGCUAAUACUGGAUAUUCAUCGUCUCCUUCCUGGGGGGUGGUGGAAAGCUCCGGCGGUCAGGGAUGGGCUCGCGGCCUAUCAGCUUGUUGGUGAGGUAAUGGCUCACCAAGGCUUCGACGGGUAGCCGGCCUGAGAGGGCGACCGGCCACACUGGGACUGAGAUACGGCCCAGACUCCUACGGGAGGCAGCAGUGGGGAAUAUUGCACAAUGGGUGCAAGCCUGAUGCAGCAACGCCGCGUGCGGGAUGACGGCCUUCGGGUUGUAAACCGCUUUCAGUAGGGACGAAGGGUGACUGACGGUACCUACAGAAGAAGGACCGGCUAACUACGUG
rnacentral:rRNA from 1 species